UACGUAGGGUGCAAGCGUUAAUCGGAAUUACUGGGCGUAAAGCGUGCGCAGGCGGCUUUGCAAGACAGAUGUGAAAUCCCCGGGCUUAACCUGGGAACUGCAUUUGUGACUGCAUGGCUGGAGUGUGGCAGAGGGGGAUGGAAUUCCGCGUGUAGCAGUGAAAUGCGUAGAUAUGCGGAGGAACACCGAUGGCGAAGGCAGCCCCCUGGGCUGACACUGACGCUCAGGCACGAAAGCGUGGGGAGCAAACAGG
rnacentral:rRNA from 1 species